rnacentral:rRNA from 1 species
UUGAGGAGGCGGUGACCGUGGCGGUGUAGGUGGAAGCGGCGGUAGAGGAGGAGGAUGAGGUAGACAACACUGUUUUUAUAUAUAUAUAUAUAUAUAUAUAUAUAUAUAUAUUUUAAUUGGGGUAGUCACCAAAAUAUUGGGACAUGUAAAAAAGACAACUCUGUUCCGCAGAGUAGCUGUUGACAUUAUAGUUGCGCGGGCACUUUGUUGACUCUAGAGAACCUCAGGCCAAUGGUACAUCCCCGUGAUGGCGACUUUGCAUUUGGAUGUCAUCCAUAUCAACUUUCGAUGCCAGUUUCUGCACCUACCAUGGUGACCAACGGGUAAUGGGGAAUCAGGGUUCCAUUCCGUACAGGGACCCUGAGAAACGGCUACCACGUGCAAGGAAGGCAGCAGGCGUGCAAAUGACCCACUCCCGACGUGGGAAGGUAGUGACGACAAAUAACAAUACAGGACUCUUUAGAGGCCCUGUAAUUGUAAUGAGUGCACUUGAAAUCCUUUAACUCUGAUAAAUUAGAGGGAAGUCUGGUGCAGAGCCACUGACCCAUGCGUGCUGAAGCUGAAACUCCACUAUCACCUGCUGCUGCUCGCACAGUCUCAU